GACGAACCGUGCGAACGUUAUUCGGAAUCACUGGGCUUAAAGCGCGUGUAGGCGGGCCGGCACGUCCGAGGCUGAAAUCCCCCGGCUCAACCGGGGAAGGGGCGCGGAUACGACCGGCCUGGAGGGGGGUAGGGGGGCCUGGAACUUCCGGUGGAGCGGUGAAAUGCGUUGAGAUCGGAAGGAACAUCAGUUGCGAAGGCGGCUCUCUGGACCAGCACUGACACUGAGGCACGAAAGCGUGGGGAGCAAACAGG
rnacentral:rRNA from 1 species